rnacentral:rRNA from 1 species
GGGACACGUGGUAUCCUGUCUGAAUAUGGGGGGACCAUCCUCCAAGGCUAAAUACUCCUGACUGACCGAUAGUGAACCAGUACCGUGAGGGAAAGGCGAAAAGAACCCCGGCGAGGGGAGUGAAAAAGAACCUGAAACCGUGUACGUACAAGCAGUGGGAGCACGCUUAGGCGUGUGACUGCGUACCUUUUGUAUAAUGGGUCAGCGACUUAUAUUCUGUAGCAAGGUUAACCGAAUAGGGGAGCCGAAGGGAAACCGAGUCUUAACUGGGCGUUAAGUUGCAGGGUAUAGACCCGAAACCCGGUGAUCUAGCCAUGGGCAGGUUGAAGGUUGGGUAACACUAACUGGAGGACCGAACCGACUAAUGUUGAAAAAUUAGCGGAUGACUUGUGGCUGGGGGUGAAAGGCCAAUCAAACCGGGAGAUAGCUGGUUCUCCCCGAAAGCUAUUUAGGUAGCGCCUCGUGAAUUCAUCUCCGGGGGUAGAGCACUGUUUCGGCAAGGGGGUCAUCCCGACUUACCAACCCGAUGCAAACUGCGAAUACCGGAGAAUGUUAUCACGGGAGACACACGGCGGGUGCUAACGUCCGUCGUGAAGAGGGAAACAACCCAGACCGCCAGCUAAGGUCCCAAAGUCAUGGUUAAGUGGGAAACGAUGUGGGAAGGCCCAGACAGCCAGGAUGUUGGCUUAGAAGCAGCCAUCAUUUAAAGAAAGCGUAAUAGCUCACUGGUCGAGUCGGCCUGCGCGGAAGAUGUAACGGGGCUAAACCAUGCACCGAAGCUGCGGCAGCGACACUAUGUGUUGUU